CUCCUGACAUGGUUUCUACUGAGAGACGUACUUUAGUGGUUGGAAUUCUGUUUGUUUUUUCUUAUCUUAUUGAAGAAAUGUUUAGAAAUGAUUUUAUUAUUAAUGUAACUAAUAUGAUUUAUAUUCUCAGGGCAGUGCCAGUGAUUCCAUAGAGAGGUUCCACUUUGCAUUAUCAGCCCAUGAUGCUUCAGUGCUCUCUGUGUAUUUAUAGUCCUGUGAGUUUAACACUUCAUGACUGAGAGCUGCUGCUCCACAAACUUCACCCACAGCAUCCAUGACCCUGAUCACCAUCUUCAUCUGGACUCUGAUCUUCUGGACUCAAGAGUCCAGAGGUCAGGCCACCAUCGCUCAGACUCCUGCAGUUAAAUCUGCUCUUCCAGGAGAAACAGUCUCCAUCAGCUGUAAUGCUAAUGUUGCUGUCCACAACGACUGUAGCAGCAGAUAUGACUGUGUAUCCUGGUAUCUGCAGAAACCUGGAGAAGUUCCUAAACUCCUGAUUAAACUCGCAAACCAGUUACACUCAGGUAUUCCAGCUCGUUUCAGUGGCAGUGGAUCCAAGACUGACUUCACUCUGACCAUCAGUGGAGUCCAAACUGAAGAUACAGGAGAUUAUUACUGUCUGAUGGAUCAUUACAACACUUAUAAGCUUCAAUCUCUCACACAGUGAUAUUCAGUCCUACAAAACCCCCCUGCAGGUGCUGAGGGGGAGGAUGUGAAACAGCACAAUCACACACUCUGUGGAGGAAAGGAAACACACACCACACCAACACACAAUUCAACACACACAUAUCUAUGAACAACCACAGAGCCAUCAUUCAUACAGCACUUCAGAUACACUCUGUUAGAGCUCUUUGUGCUCCUACUGCUCAUCUGUUGCUGGUGGACAGGUUUCUGUUGGUGUGGUGAGGGAUAAACAUAAGUAUAGUCAGUGUACUUCACUAAAUAUUCAAGAUUAACAACAUUUUACUGUAAUAAACAACCUCAAUA